rnacentral:rRNA from 1 species
ACGGGGGGGGUAAGCGUUGUUCGGAAUUACUGGGCGUAAAGGGCUCGUAGGCGGCCAACUAAGUCAGACGUGAAAUCCCUCAGCUUAACUGGGGAACUGCGUCUGAUACUGGAUGGCUUGGAUUCGGGAGAGGAAUGCGGAAUUCCAGGUGUAGCGGUGAAAUGCGUAGAGAUCGGGAAGAACAUCGGUGGCGAAAGCGCUCUGCUGGACUGCAACUGACACUCAGGGACGAAAGCUAGGGGAGCGAAUGGGA